rnacentral:rRNA from 1 species
AGAGUUUGAUCCUGGCUCAGGAUGAACGCUAGCGGCAGGCCUAAUACAUGCAAGUCGGACGGGAUCCAUCGGAGAGCUUGCUCGAAGAUGGUGAGAGUGGCGCACGGGUGCGUAACGCGUGAGCAACCUACCUCUAUCAGGGGGAUAGCCUCUCGAAAGAGAGAUUAACACCGCAUAACAUCAACAGUUCGCAUGUUCAGUUGAUUAAAUAUUUAUAGGAUAGAGAUGGGCUCGCGUGACAUUAGCUAGUUGGUAGGGUAACGGCUUACCAAGGCGACGAUGUCUAGGGGCUCUGAGAGGAGAAUCCCCCACACUGGUACUGAGACACGGACCAGACUCCUACGGGAGGCAGCAGUAAGGAAUAUUGGUCAAUGGGCGGAAGCCUGAACCAGCCAUGCCGCGUGCAGGAUGACUGCCCUAUGGGUUGUAAACUGCUUUUGUCCAGGAAUAAACCUAGAUACGUGUAUCUAGCUGAAUGUACUGGAAGAAUAAGGAUCGGCUAACUCCGUGCCAGCAGCCGCGGUAAUACGGAGGAUCCGAGCGUUAUCCGGAUUUAUUGGGUUUAAAGGGUGCGUAGGCGGCCUAUUAAGUCAGGGGUGAAAUACGGUGGCUCAACCAUCGCAGUGCCUUUGAUACUGAUGGGCUUGAAUCCAUUUGAAGUGGGCGGAAUAAGACAAGUAGCGGUGAAAUGCAUAGAUAUGUCUUAGAACUCCGAUUGCGAAGGCAGCUCACUAAGCUGGUAUUGACGCUGAUGCACGAAAGCGUGGGGAUCGAACAGGAUUAGAUACCCUGGUAGUCCA